rnacentral:rRNA from 1 species
UCCGUAGGGGGCAAGCGUUGUCCGGAAUUAUUGGGCGUAAAGCGCGCGCAGGCGGUUAAUUAAGUCAGAUGUGAAAGGCUACGGCUCAACCGUAGAGUUGCAUUUGAAACUGGUUAACUUGAGUGCAGGAGAGGUGAGUGGAAUUCCCGGUGUAGCGGUGGAAUGCGUAGAGAUCGGGAGGAACACCAGUGGCGAAGGCGGCCCACUGGCCUGCAACUGACGCUGAGGCGCGAAAGCGUGGGGAGCGAACAGG